rnacentral:rRNA from 1 species
AUGCUCCGGGACGAACUCGUGGCGCCGGAAAGCCGCUGCUUCCUCAACACAUCCACCGGCGAGUGUGUAAAGGUCUGCAUAGCAGAGCUCCAUGACCAUGAGCUGCUCGCAGUCACCCCCGAGGGCCUUCUUGUUCUUCUCCACGACCGCAACCAUGUCCGCCUCCUCAACCCGCUCACCCGCCACCUCACAAAGCUCCCUCCGCUCACCACGCUGCUGCCCUCUGAGGACCAUGGUAUGUUUGACGAAGAUAGUGACGACAUGGAUUUUAUUGCGUGGGGCUCUGGUAUUGCCAGUGAUGAUUCUACAUUCGUCCUCUGCUUCGACAUGCUCCAACUGCUUGGCACGGCCAAGCCCGGCGACGACCACUGGACUUUGCUAAAAUACAACAGUGAUGGCAUCACAGUGGCACCCUUAUUGUUUGAAGGCAGCUUCUACUGCGUUAGUGACGAUGGUGUCUUGGUACUCAAAAUCGGCGCAGAUCAGCCACCACGGCUGGAGGUGGCUGCCAAGAUGGAAGACAUGCGUGUCUCGCGGAUUGCUGAUAGUGUGCACCUCAUCAACAAUUGUGGGGAGCUGAUGCUGGUGCACCGUCGAAGGGGAUUGACAGCAGAUAAUAAAUCAGGUUCUUGGUAUGACACAUAUCGAGUGGAUUUGGACACCAGGACACUAUUUCUGGCCAAUAGCUUUGGCGGUGACGCAGGGCGUGCAGUGUUCAUUGGCAUGCAUUGCUCUCUUUCAAUCUCUCUAGAGGCUUUCCCCACUGGCUCCAUAAGCGCCGACACCAUCUACUUGAGCAUUGAUGUUGGCGAGAGAGAGCGGUUAGAAGUUGGAGCAUUUCAUCUGGCAGAUGGAAGCAUAGAACGCCCCAGCACAUACAGCGGUGGCUUGGUGGCACGGCCUCAUACUCUUGCUGACUGUCUAUCCUUAGCAAAUGCUGUAUUAUAG